rnacentral:rRNA from 1 species
AGAGGAAGGAGGGGACGAUGUCAAGUCAUCAUGGCCCUUACGUCCAGGGCUGCACACGUGCUACAAUGGAUAAUACAAUGGGCAGCUACUCUGCGAGGAGACGCGAAUCCCAUAAAAUUAUUCUCAGUUCGGAUUGUAGUCUGCAACUCGACUACAUGAAGCCGGAAUCGCUAGUAAUCGCGUAUCAGCAAUGACGCGGUGAAUACGUUCCCGG